rnacentral:rRNA from 1 species
AGCGAACGCUGGCGGCGUGCUUAACACGUGCAAGUCGAACGGACCUUCGGGUUAGUGGCGAACGGGUGAGUAACACGUGGGUGAUCUGCCCUGCACUUUGGGAUAAGCCUGGGAAACUGGGUCUAAUACCGAAUAGGACCACGCGCUUCAUGGUGUGUGGUGGAAAGCUUUUGCGGUGUGGGAUGGGCCCGCGGCCUAUCAGCUUGUUGGUGGGGUAAUGGCCUACCAAGGCGACGACGGGUAGCCGGCCUGAGAGGGUGACCGGCCACACUGGGACGGAGAUACGGCCCAGACUCCUACGGGAGGCAGCAGUGGGGAAUAUUGCACAAUGGGCGCAAGCCUGAUGCAGCGACGCCGCGUGAGGGAUGACGGCCUUCGGGUUGUAAACCUCUUUCGCCAGGGACGAAGCGCAAGUGACGGUACCUGGAGAAGAAGGGCCGGCCAACUACGUGCCAGCAGCCGCCGUAAAAC